AGAAACCGUUUAGGUCACAUUGUACAGCGUUUAGAGUAAACAGUUUAUGUUUUAUUUAACAUCUUAAAACUGUUGGCUGUGGAGUAAACUAAUGAAUACGACCCAGGUUGUUGCCUACGACUCGGCAUGUUGAUACCUGCCUCUUGCUGAAACCUGAACGUAGCCUGAGGGGUAUACUAUGAUACAGGCUUGAUAUACUGGUUUUCUAAAGCUAGCCAGCUUCAGUUAGCUUCACAUUCCAGCUCAGGCCUCACCCAUCAGAAUAUACACAACAGAACAGAAAAUAAUCGCAAUGAAGUUUCAAGAACCAGGAAGUCCAUCCCCCUUCACAAACUCUCUUCUGAGGAAACGAAACUGAUCUGAGUCUCUGUGUCGUCUGUCUGUGUGAGAGUGAACAACCGUCCAAAUGGCUCAACAGGGAGUUCUGCUGGACCAGGACCAGUUCUGUUGUUCUGUCUGUCUGGAUCUACUGAAGGAACCAGUCACCAUCCCCUGUGGACACAGUUACUGUAGGAGCUGUAUUGAGGGCUGCUUGGAUCAGGAUGUUCUGAAAGGGGUCUAUAGCUGUCCUCAGUGCAGACAGACCUUCAGUCCGAGGCCGACGCUGAGGAAAAAUAACAUGUUGGCUGAGCUGGUGGAGAAACUGAAGAAGACAGGACUCCAGGCUGCUCCCCCUCCUGCUCUGUGCUAUGCUGGACCUAGAGAUGUGGCGUGUGAUGUCUGUACUGGGACCAGAAAGCAGAAAGCCCUCAUGUCCUGUCUGGCGUGUCUGGCCUCUUACUGUGAGACUCACCUCCAACCUCACUACGAAUCUCCAGCUUUCAAGAAGCACAAGAUGGUCAAAGCCACCGCACAACUACAGGAGAAGAUAUGCUCUCAUCAUGACAAACUGCUGGAGGUUUACUGUCGUACCGAUCAGCAGUGUAUCUGUCUGCUGUGUGUGAUGGAUGAACAUAAAGGCCAUGAUACAGUGUCAGCUGCAGCAGAGAGGACUGAGAAACAGAGGCAGCUGGGGAUGAGUCAGCAGAAGGUCCAGCAGAGAUUCCAGGAGAGAGAGAAGGAGCUGAAGGAGCUCCAACAGGCUGUGGAGUCUCUCAAGGUGAGUAUUGUUGACCAGAGGAGACACACCAUUUCACCUGUCUCCUCCAGUCAGGAGAGAGAGAGAGAGAGAGGUAGAGGGGCCCCUAUCCAAUCCCACUGA
rnacentral:lncRNA from 1 species